rnacentral:rRNA from 1 species
AGAGUUUGAUCAUGGCUCAGGAUGAACGCUAGCGACAGGCUUAACACAUGCAAGUCGAGGGGCAGCGGGGUGUAGCAAUACACCGCCGGCGACCGGCGCACGGGUGAGUAACGCGUAUGCAACUUGCCUAUCAGAGGGGGAUAACCCGGCGAAAGUCGGACUAAUACCGCAUGAAGCAGGGGUCCCGCAUGGGGAUAUUUGCUAAAGAUUCAUCGCUGAUAGAUAGGCAUGCGUUCCAUUAGGCAGUUGGCGGGGUAACGGCCCACCAAACCGACGAUGGAUAGGGGUUCUGAGAGGAAGGUCCCCCACAUUGGUACUGAGACACGGACCAAACUCCUACGGGACGCAGCAG